rnacentral:rRNA from 1 species
UCAGCAGUAGUCACGAGUUGAUCCUGGCUCAGAACGAACGCUGGCGGCAUGCCUAACACAUGCAAGUCGAACGAGACCUUCGGGUCUAGUGGCGCACGGGUGCGUAACGCGUGGGAACCUGCCUUUAGGUUCGGAAUAACUCAGAGAAAUUUGAGCUAAUACCGGAUAAUGUCUUCGGACCAAAGAUUUAUCGCCUUUAGAUGGGCCCGCGUUGGAUUAGCUAGUUGGUGGGGUAAAGGCCUACCAAGGCGACGAUCCAUAGCUGGUCUGAGAGGAUGAUCAGCCACACUGGGACUGAGACACGGCCCAGACUCCUACGGGAGGCAGCAGUGGGGAAUAUUGGACAAUGGGCGAAAGCCUGAUCCAGCAAUGCCGCGUGAGUGAUGAAGGCCUUAGGGUUGUAAAGCUCUUUUACCCGAGAUGAUAAUGACAGUAUCGGGAGAAUAAGCUCCGGCUAACUCCGUG